GCGAUGAGCUAAUUCACGUAAGACGAGAGAUAUGCUUAAGUGCUAAACACGCGGAUGUGGCCGCCUGGUCUCUCGCCGUGAACGCAUCAAGACGCCUGCAUGACAGGCGUC
rfam:Bacillus manliponensis strain JCM 15802 contig7, whole genome shotgun sequence.